AACACUUGGCAGUGGUAGAGCGCCAGCACGUACUGCAGCGCCAGGUCCAGCGCCCCUGGCGCCACCGCGACCCCCGCCCCGCCGCCCAGGCUGAGUAGUAGCGCCUGGCCCGCUAGGGUCUGCAGCCCCACGUGGGCCGAGGGGUAGAGGAGGAAAUUGAAGACGAAGGCGUUGGGACAGCGCCGCUGCUGCAGGAUGGUGUUUCCCUUCCUGUUUGCUGAUCCACUGGGGCUGUCCCAGAAAGAGAACUACAACGCUACUCUUUCCCAUGCCUUGCUUGUCCACAGACAGGGUCUUGCUGUGUUGUCCAGGUUUGAUGGAGUGCGGUGGUGCAAUCCUGGCUCACUAUAACCUCUACCUCCUGGGCUCAAGGGAUAGUCUCAUCUUAGUUUCCUGAGUAGCUGGGACUACAGGACACAACAUUUGUCUCCUCCAGAAGAUGCAGCAACAAGGUAUCAUCUUGGAAGCAGAGACAGGGCCUUCACCAGACACCAAACCCAAAGAUCCCUUCAUCUUGGACUUUCAGCCUCCAGAACUGUGAGAAAUAAAUUCCUAUUCUUUUAAAAUUACCCAGUCUCAGGUGUUUUGUUGUAUCAACACAAAUGAACAGGCCCAGACUGCGCAAUGUCUGAAGAUCUUCAUUUCACCCUGCUAGUAACAACCAUCCUGUUACGUUUGCACUUCUUUGCAAUUCACCCCAC
rnacentral:lncRNA from 10 species